rnacentral:rRNA from 1 species
UACGGAGGGUGCAAGCGUUAUCCGGAAUCACUGGGUUUAAAGGGUGCGUAGGCGGCUAAAUAAGUCAGAGGUGAAAGCUUGCAGCUUAACUGCGAAAUUGCCUUUGAUACUGUAUAGCUUGAAAGGAGCUGAGGUCAGCAGAAUGUGGCAUGUAGCGGUGAAAUGCAUAGAGAUGCCAGAGAAUACCAAUUGCGAAGGCAGCUGGCUGGGCUUACUUUGACGCUGAGGCACGAAAGAGUGGGGAUCGAACGGG